CCUGGUUGAUCCUGCCAGUAACAUAUGCUUGUCUCAAAGAUUAAGCCAUGCAGGUCUAAGUGCACACGGAAGGUACAGUGAAACUGCGAAUGGCUCAUUAAAUCAGUUAUGGUUCCUUUGAUCGCUCCACACGUUACUCGGAUAACUGUGGUAAUUCCAGAGCUAAUACAUGCAAACGAGCGCUGACCGGUCCUCUCUCGGGGGGGCCGGGAUGCGUGCAUUUAUCAGACCCAAAACCCACCCGGGGGGACCCGCGAGGGUUUCCCCCGGCCCUUUGGUGACUCUAGAUAACCUCGGGUCGAUCGCGCGCCCACCGCGGCGGCGACGUCUCAUUCGAAUGUCUGCCCUAUCAGCUGUCGAUGGUAGCAUAGGGGGCUACCAUGGUGACCACGGGUAACGGGGAAUCAGGGUUCGAUUCCGGAGAGGGAGCCUGAGAAAUGGCUACCACAUCCAAGGAAGGCAGCAGGCGCGCAAAUUACCCAUUACCGACACGGUGAGGUAGUGACGAAAAAUAACGAUGCAGGUCUCUUUCGAGGCCCUGUAAUCGGAAUGAACGUAUCCUAAACACAUGGGUGAGGACCCAUUGGAGGGCAAGUCUGGUGCCAGCAGCCGCGGUAAUUCCAGCUCCAAUAGCGUAUAUUAAAUUUGCUGCAGUUAAAAAGCUCGUAGUUGGACUUCGGGAGUGGGCUGGCGGUCCGCCGCGAGGCGAGCUACCGCCUGUCCCAGACCCUGCCUCCCGGCGCCCCCCGGAUGCCCUUGGUUGGGUGUCCGGUCCUCAGGGGUACGGAGGAAAAACCAAAACUUCCAGAGACGGUUCCAGGGGGGGUAUCUCUUUUAUUAUUUUGACCCGACCGAAUGGACUACCGAGCCCGCCUGGGUAGGCAGCCGCGCGGCCCUCCGUGGCCACUGUGCGCGGUGCGUUCCUACCCGACCAUGAAGCUCCGCAGGUCGGCCUCCGUCCC
rnacentral:rRNA from 1 species